rnacentral:rRNA from 1 species
AUUGAACGCUGGCGGAAUGCUUUACACAUGCAAGUCGAACGGCAGCACGGGGGCAACCCUGGUGGCGAGUGGCGAACGGGUGAGUAAUACAUCGGAACGUGCCCAGUCGUGGGGGAUAACUACGCGAAAGCGUAGCUAAUACCGCAUACGAACUCUGGUUGAAAGCGGGGGAUCGCAAGACCUCGCGCGAUUGGAGCGGCCGAUGGCAGAUUAGGUAGUUGGUGGGGUAAAGGCUCACCAAGCCGACGAUCUGUAGCUGGUCUGAGGGGACGACCAGCCACACGGGAACUGGGACACGGCCCAGACUCCGACGGGAGGCAGCAGUGGGGAAUUUUGGACGUUGGGCGCAAGCCUGAUCCAGCCAUUCCGCGUGCAGGAUGAAGGCCCUCGGGUUGUAAACUGCUUUUGUACGGAACGAAACGCGCCGGGUUAAUACCCUGGCGUAAUGACGGUACCGUAAGAAUAAGCACCGGCUAACUACGUGCCAGCCGCCGUAGUAACAC